AGAGCGAACGCUGGCGGCAGGCUUAACACAUGCAAGUCGAGCGGGCGUAGCAAUACGUCAGCGGCAGACGGGUGAGUAACGCGUGGGAACGUACCUUUUGGUUCGGAACAACACAGGGAAACUUGUGCUAAUACCGGAUAAGCCCUUACGGGGAAAGAUUUAUCGCCGAAAAGAUCGGCCCGCGUCUGAUUAGCUAGUUGGUGAGGUAACGGCUCACCAAGGCGACGAUCAGUAGCUGGUCUGAGAGGAUGAUCAGCCACAUUGGGACUGAGACACGGCCCAAACUCCUACGGGAGGCAGCAGUGGGGAAUAUUGGACAAUGGGCGCAAGCCUGAUCCAGCCAUGCCGCGUGAGUGAUGAAGGCCCUAGGGUUGUAAAGCUCUUUUGUGCGGGAAGAUAAUGACGGUACCGCAAGAAUAAGCCCGGCUAACUUCGCGCCAGCAGCCGC
rnacentral:rRNA from 1 species